rnacentral:rRNA from 1 species
CCUACGGGAGGCAGCAGUGAGGAAUAUUGGUCAAUGGGCGGAAGCCUGAACCAGCCAAGUAGCGUGCGGGAUGAAGGCCCUACGGGUCGUAAACCGCUUUUGCACGGGGAUAACACCCUCCACUUGUGGAGGUCUGCAGGUACCGUGCGAAUAAGGGCCGGCUAAUUCCGUGCCAGCAGCCGCGGUAAUACGGAAGGCCCGAGCGUUAUCCGGAUUCAUUGGGCUUAAAGGGAGCGUAGGCGGGUGUUCAAGUCAGCUGUAAAAUCGCGCGGCUCAACCGCGCCCCGCAGUUGAAACUGGACGCAUUGAGUUCACAACAGGCAGGCGGAAUUCGUGGUGUAGCGGUGAAAUGCAUAGAGAUCACGAGGAACCCCGAUUGCGAAGGCAGCCUGCCGGGGUGCGACUGACGCUGAGGCUCGAAGGUGCGGGUAUCAAACAGGAUUAGAUACCCCUGUAGUC